rnacentral:rRNA from 1 species
GACGAACGCUGGCGGCGUGCCUAAUACAUGCAAGUAGAACGCACAGUUUAUACCGUAGCUUGCUACACCAUAGACUGUGAGUUGCGAACGGGUGAGUAACGCGUAGGUAACCUGCCUGGUAGCGGGGGAUAACUAUUGGAAACGAUAGCUAAUACCGCAUAAUAUUAAUUAUUGCAUGAUAAUUAAUUGAAAGGUGCAAUUGAACCACUACCAGAUGGACCUGCGUUGUAUUAGCUAGUAGGUGAGGUAACGGCUCACCUAGGCGACGAUACAUAGCCGACCUGGGAGGGUGAUCGGCCACACUGGGACUGAGACACGGCCCAGACUCCUACGGGAGGCAGCAGGAGGGAAUCUUCGGCAAUGGACGAAAGUCUGACCGAGCAACGCCGCGUGAGUGAAGAAGGUUUUCGGAUCGGAAAGCUCUGUUGUAAGAGAAGAACGGGUGUGAGAGUGGAAAGUUCACACUGUGACGGUAUCUUACCAGAAAGGGACGGCUAACUACGUG